rnacentral:lncRNA from 1 species
GGCCGCCGAGGGAAGGACGGACUCGACCUUUACUUGAGCGGAGAGGGAGCCGGCCGAGAGCAACCGCUCCUCUCUGCACCCAAACUGUGCCACCCCCAAACACAUUGGUGUCUUGGGUGCGCAGUUUCCGUCUGCAGCUGCGAAUGCUUUCAUCCAGAACUUUCCAAGCUUAAUGUGGACGAGCCUUCUGCUCCCAAYGGGACAGAUCCGACCGGAAGGAGACUGGUCCUCCUGUUACUCCAGACGAGGCCGCACAGAGGAGGCAGCUGUUCGGCGGGGAGAGCAGAUGUCCCUGCCGUAAGGACGCAGAAGGAGAGGAGGCAUUUGUGCAUUGAGGAGAGCGGGCCAUCAGCUGUCGGGCUGCCACGGUCCCACCCUGCCAUGGGAAAUCCAACUGCCCCAGCACUUCUGCCGAAACUGCUGAGCUCACAGCAUCCCCCAGAUGAAGAUUUUCUCUGCCAGGCAUCCCGAUGUUUCUGUUUCCAGACUUUCUUAGGAAAAGUCUUUCUCACGCUUCUCUCAGGAGACUCAGUCUCUGGCUCUUCCUCUUUGCACACAAGUGUCCAGCAUUCCUCAAAAUGAUACAAGAUAAUUUUGCGUUUGCUUUUGGCCUGCAAGACAACCCUGCUGCCCACAUCGCUCAGACACUAACUGUGCUUGUGUUUGGCUAGUGCCCCUCGAUGGAAUAACUAAACAGGCGCUUCAUUGUCUUUUCUCUCUCCCCUGAACAAAGGGUUAUUGUUCUACCCACCAGCUUCGACCCAUCACCCCACAGCAACGAACGGUCCGUCUCAACUGGAGAUGCUUCCUUUACUGUAUUCAGCAAUUUCAAAAAAAAUAGAAGCAAGAAGUUUCCUUUCUCCAGUAAUAAUGUGCCCAUGAAUCGGUCCUAAUUUUCACCUGCCUCAGUUGGAGAAGAUAAAGCUAGUGUCUGCCGCUAUUCCAGCCGGAUGGUCCUAACCAGCCUAACACGCUCCUCUGUCAGCUGCAAGUUCUCUUCUCUCCAUAUGUCUUUAAACACACGUGCCAUUCUUCUGAUAAGCUCUCGUGGGAUUAUUGCAGGGCUAACCAGAAACCAUACAUUUAUUAUAAUUUAUCAAAAGAAUUACUCAGACAAAAAUCGUUUGAUGAUAAACAGCAGGCUUCAGAACUAAGAUAAUCCUUGGGAGCUUCUGGAUAGCUCAGAGCAGAAAUCGGAAAAUUCAGAGAAGUAGAACUGCUAUGCGUGAUAAACCACGGAGUGUAUUUCAAAAGGCAAAAUCUUAUGCGGCUGCCCUUUGAGCCUUCUGCUGAGGUGCACUCCUGUUCCAAAAUCAUGUAAGCUGCUUUGGUGAAUUAGUACUGUAUUGCCUUUAUGGGACCUAAAAAAUGCAAAUUCCAGAUCUUAACAUUCCAAAAGAGCUCAAAUCCCAGUGCUGCUUCCUUUUAUCGAAGACGUAAUGACAUUAACAUUAUUUUUCACAAGUAAUUUUACAAUGUGACUUGAAGUACAAAAUAAACUCCUUGUAACACAGCA